rnacentral:tRNA from 1 species
AUUCUUAUGGCAGAUAAAUGCAUUAGAUUUAGAAUCUAUUAAUUCUUUUUAUAUCCC